UACGUAGGGUGCGAGCGUUAAUCGGAAUUACUGGGCGUAAAGCGUGCGCAGGCGGUCUGUUAAGACCGAUGUGAAAUCCCCGGGCUUAACCUGGGAAUGGCAUUGGUGACUGCACGGCUAGAGUGUGUCAGAGGGGGGUAGAAUUCCACGUGUAGCAGUGAAAUGCGUAGAGAUGUGGAGGAAUACCGAUGGCGAAGGCGGCCCCCUGGGAUAACACUGACGCUCAUGCACGAAAGCGUGGGGAGCAAACAGG
rnacentral:rRNA from 1 species